UUUAAUUUGUGGCUUAUAUGAGUUGGCUUUCAACUUAUAUGUACAAGUUAAUAGUGAUGAACUUUUGAUGGUGUUUCACUAGCUGUACUUUGUCUUUGAGUACAUGCUAUACUUUUUCCUGCUUACAGUUUUGAUAUUUCCUGACACUAAUUCUUAUAACUAAAUCUGCGCAUGUCAUUCUUAUUUGAUCAGGAUUUUGGGUAAAUAUUUUAACUGAAGCUGAUAUCAGAAAUUGGUACUUUCAAGUCGUACAAGGCAAUUCUUACAUGCAUCAACGUGGUUACCUCCAACGCAAUCUUAAGCCAGGGAGGUUAAUUCGAGUCCACAUUAAUAGAAUAUGUUGUUGGCAGGGGAGGUUAAUUCAAGUCCACAUUUAUAGAGUAUGUUGUUAUAGAUGGUAGAGGGCACCAGAAGUACUUCUAAAGUCCUAUGUAUACACAGAAAAAGUUGUCUAGCGGCUCUGCUCCUGGAUCCAUGGAACAGAGCGACUACUGCAGAGGCUUCGUCCAGGAUACCAGUGGGAUUUGGUGUUGUAGUCGGAUUUUCGUAUGAGCUGAAGCAGAGUGAUAUGUGGCCACAAGGUAUUCUUAUAUAUCUAGAAAACUAACUUGGUCACGCCGAGAAAAAUUGAGAUCAAGAGAGAAAAUGAAAAGACAUGUGAAUGUAUAUCGAAGCAUCAUCUUUGAUCUUUAAGAAUCGAAAGCUAUCUCUCACGAAUCCCUCCAAGAGUCUCAUUUCUCCACUGAAACAACAUUCUGGUUGUUCGUUUUUCUUGUGUUGUUUCUUCUUCUGGAUGAAGAAUGGAGCUUGAUCAAAGUGUUGUGAUGCGCACAUAUGUAAGCUAUCAUAGGCGAACUAUUUAUCUGACGGCUGAUAGGCACGACAGCAUAUAAUAUCAUUUCUCUUUACCGUUGGAUUGAGCCCAAGCCUUGUGAAAGAUCAUCCACAAAGUGCUGUGUUUGCUUUUUCUCUAUAGAG